CCUACGGGAGGCAGCAGUGGGGAAUAUUGCACAAUGGGGGGAACCCUGAUGCAGCGACGCCGCGUGGGUGAAGGAGUAUUUCGGUAUGUAAAGCCUAUCGGCAGGGAAGAAGCACGACGGUACCUGACUAAGAAGCCCCGGCUAACUACGUGCCAGCAGCCGCGGUAAUACGGAGGGGGCGAGCGUUAUCCGGAUGCACUGGGUGUAAAGGGAGCGUAGACGGCCAUGCAAGCCAGGGGGGAAAGCCCGGGGCCCAACCCCGGGACUGCCCUUGGAACUGCAUGGCUGGAGUGCGGGAGAGGCAGGCAGAAUUCCUGGUGUAGCGGUGAAAUGCGUAGAUAUCAGGAGGAACACCGGCGGCGAAGGCGGCCUGCUGGACCGCGACUGACGUUGAGGCUCGAAAGCGUGGGGAGCGAACAGGAUUAGAUACCCUAGUAGUC
rnacentral:rRNA from 1 species